UUAAGGACCAAAAACGUGGAAAAGCUUUGUUAUAGGGUUUCACACGUUUUUGGGCAGCCUCCAUCCUCUCUCCUCUUCAUCCUCUUGCUUAUGGUGUUUGUGAACCAUUAGAGGAGUGACAUUUGUGACUCUAAGCUUUCUAAAGUCAAUACAAGGAGAUUUGGGAUUGUUAUUGCUACAUAACAAUCAAGGUAACAUCUUAAACCUAUUCUCAUGUUAAUAUGAUUACUUGAAUGCUAGAAUUAGGGUUUAUAGUCUUGGAUAACUUGCAUGUACAAUAGAGAAACCUAGAUCCAAGCAUUAGGGUUUGUAUGAGCACAUAGGAUGUUCUUAGGACCAAAACCCAUCAGUGGUAUCAGAGCCUAGAUUGGUUUCUAUUGUAUUGAUGCUUUAUAUGUUGAAAAAAUUCGAUUUUUUUGUUUCUGGGGGCUGAACUCGCCAAGUUUUUUUUAGAUGAACUCGCCGAGUUCAUGCUAACUCGACGAGUCCAUGCCUGACUCGACGAGUCGGCUGGUCAGUAAGAGGGAAAACCGGGAUUUCUUGCUGUUUUUGCUUGAGGAUACUUGCCUUAUCAUAUUAGAUCAAUAUAAAUCCGAUUUUUUGAUAUAUAUGACUAUAUUCUUGAUCUAAUUGAAGAUAUUUAUCAAUUAAUAAAAUAUUUGUUUCCUUAUGUGAUAAUUGAUUAAUUAUUUUGAUUAAAUUGGUAAAUUGUUUUGCAAGAAAUCAUUAAAUAAAUCAAAUAUGGAUAAUUAUGUGAUUAAAUGUUAAUUUAGAUUAUUUGUUAUUUGAUCCUUGUGUUAUGAAAAGUUUCAUAUUUUCCCCUUUAGGUUUUAUAGUUUAAAUUUGACCUCAAAAGUUUUGUUGUUUUGAAAUUUAAAUAGUUGAAACCCUAAUGUUUUGAAAAAGGUUUCAAAACUUGCCCUCAAGUUUUGGAAUUUAAAUUUUGAUUAAUAGUUUAAUUUUGAUGUAUAUUUAAAUUCUAAACCCUAAUGUUUUGAAAUGUUUCAAAACUUGCCCUCAAGUUUUGGAAUUUAAAAGUUGAUUAAAAGUUUAAUUAGGAAUGUUAAAUUCUAAAACCCUAGUAUUGUUUUGAAAAAGUUCAAAUCACACCCUUAUGGUUUUAUUAAUUAAUUAAGGUGUAUAAUUAAAAGAGGUUUAAUAAAUCCAUAAAAGUUUUGGUUUACAAUUUAAUUGAAUUAAAGGUAUAAUUAUUAAAUUUGACCACCUAGUAUUUUAAAAGUGUAAAAUAUACCCUAUACUAUAUAUAACAUUAAAAGUCUAACAUUAUAUAUAUGUAUGAGUAAAAGUCAGUCUUACCGUUAGUAGGCCUCAUUCACGAAGCUGGUCUAUAAGGGGUGUUUAAGGAAAUUGCCUAUAAAAUGGCGAUUGAAUGGGUAUCCACUCUUACCCACCGCACUCUUGACUAGUGGAGGGUCGUUAGCCGAACGGGUAGGAUAGGACGAAACCUUCCAUUAUAAGUAUAAUGAAUUAUUAAAGUAACUAAAUGUUUUCAUAAAAUUCCCAAUCUUAGUUACUUAGGCAAAAGUGAAUUGAUGCAAUUCCAUGAAAUUACACUUUGUGCCCUUGCGAAGACGUUAGUGGAGCGUGUGUGGUUUACCGGCACACUAAAUGGUUCUAAGCAAAGGUAGCAAAGGGUGACUCAAUGUUUGUCAUAGUUCGGUGGAGCGUGUGUGGUUUACCGGCACAUCGAAUAGGUGACUGUAACAUGUGAGGGCACCAUGUAAGUUUGCAUGGUUAUUCACACCCGCUUUGUGAUCCUCGGCCUCCCAGUCACAAACAAGAGGGGCAUAUCGAGAUUUAAACAUGCCAUUGAAAUGUUCGAUGAAUCUCAAAGGAUCUAGGAGUUUUCAUAAAUUUAAAACUUUUCGUUUUUCAUGGUGGAAAUUAGUGAAUCAUCAUUCACUUACCUUCAAAUGUUCUGCAAUUUGGGUUACGGCAUCCCUCUCCCGAGUUGUAGAAUAUUGUGUUGGGUCCUAGCCUUAGUAUCUCAUUUGGGUGAUUUACUAAGGACUCAAUCAAUCAACUAACUUGAAUUUGUUUCUCCCGUUUUGUAGAUGUCUAAGUUCGACAACUAUGGUCUUCCCAAAUCCCAUGGAACAAGCUUUCCACAUGAAGAUGAUAUUCCACGAUUCGAUCGAGGAACAAGAAAUCAUGCUUCACUUCCUCCACCUCCUCCAAUUAUUCUCCCUAACCCACAAGUUCAAAGGCUUGAAAAGUUCAAGAUCACUCAAGCCCUUUUGGCAAGUAAACAUAAAGAAGGAAAGUCGGUGUGUGCACACGUCCUAGGGAUGAAGUCACACAUUGAUAGGUUAAGAAUGUUGGGAUCCGUUGUCUGUGAGGAAAUGGCUGUUGAUUGGGUUCUUCAGUCACUUCCUAACUCAUAUAGUGAGUUCGUAAGAGAGUACUAUAUGAUAAACCGCGACGUGACCCUUAUAGAUCUCACCUAUAUGCUUAUUUCUGCUGAAUCAUAAAUGUUUUGGCGCAAUGGAAAAGCAAAGUUUAUUGUUGAAUCUGCCUUCAAGACCUCUAUGGAUAUAGACAAUGGCUAGGAAAGACAUGCUAUGAUCAAAAAGUUUGAUCAUAAGAGAAAGGCAAUGUCUGAAGUAGUUCCAUGUCAUGUUCCAAAAGAGUCAAUUUGCUUUUAUUUCCAAGAGAAAAGGGUAUUGGAGACGAAGCUGCCCCAUUUACCUAAGAGAUCUAAGAGAUGGGAGAGUCGAACCGUAUGGCUCUAAUAUAGGUAAAAUCCAUUAACUAACUCUUUUAAGCUUCUAUUCUAGAUUCUUAAUACAUAAUGUGAUAAGAUUACAAUUAAUGUUUUGAAGGAUCAAAGAAACGAAAGGAAUCUUAAAGGAAGAAGUGAGCAGAAUCUAACCGUGAAGGAAUGGAUUUCGAUCGCAUUUCUCGAAGAUUAGAUUCUUGAGCUACUACUUAGAGUUAGAAUUAGAUUGCUAAGAAAGAUGUAUUAGCAUAGUUUUUCAAUGAAUUGCAUUGUAAGGACAAAAUUUUUCCGCAAUAAAAUAAAUUUUGAUUUUAUAUUAUUUAUUUAUCCUUGCAAUGGCGUAUAUGAAAAAUUGAUGUUUGAAUGUUUCUAUUAUUAGCAAUAAUGGAUUUGGUUCUUAUUAUGUUAUUUAUGUAAAGUCAAGAAUUUACCAAAUAGGGAGAGUUUCUCAUCGCCCAAGUUUCAAUUGGACAGAAACUUGGAAUCAUGCAACUUGGUUGCACGAUGAAUGAUAAAUUUCAUAUUUGGAAAUUAGACUAAUUCAUUGACAAAGUGUCAAGUGAAGGACUAGGAGAUCGAGCACACAAAGUUGCGUGUUGAUCAAGUCCACCAUAAGAGUAACAAAGAUAUUCGUCAUGAUUUACUAAAGGUUUAGUAAAUAUGAUUAUACUUAUAAGAUUAAGUGUAAUUCUGAAUUGAUUGAAAAGGUUUAAAUCAAUAGCAGAACGAAUAAGAAGAAUCAAGUAGGCAGAAAGAUAAAAGUUUCUCCAUUCUAAGAAGAAGGGAGAGUACCUUUUAUGCUUUAUGAUAGGUCUUAAUGAUUAAGAACCAUAUCUCAAUUGAUCCUCUAAGUGAGUCUUAGUACAAUUGUAUGUCUAAGAAGAGGAAUCAAGAAUUGAAGAAAUGGUUAAAUCAAGAAGUCAAUCAUACUUCGUUCCAAAAACAAGUCUUAAAGUUAAGAUUGUGACAAUGAGUGAUAAGUAUUAAGAAGGUUUAUAACAUUCAUCAAAUGUGGAAAGUUGUGAUGUCUUGGAUAAGACAAAGACCAACUAGGACCAAUUUAUGAAGUGUUUUGAUAAAAGCUACACUAACUCUUGAAUAUUUGUUUGUCAAGAAAUGGUUAUUGACAAGAGAAUCUUAUAUGUCAAGGAGUCAGUGGGAGUCUUAAUGGUCUUGAAAGGUUUCAAGAACAAAUCAAAUAAACCUUAUCGAUCAUCACUAGCACACGAGUUGAGGUUUACAACCUAUCGUGUUGACAUUAUUUUGAUUCUGUGCCAAUCCAAUCGAGUUAAUUAUGCAUGUGAGUUCUAUGAGUUCUCAUUUUGAACGCAUAAAAGGCAAAGCACCUUAAUCAAUGAAAGGUACAUUGAUAGGAAAGGGUGAGCUGCUUAACUACUUGGAAGACAUGGUGGGCAGCUGUGCUACCAUAAGGCAAGAAAUCAAGAUUAAGAAAGUUCGGUCCAUAUGAGUUUGAAUUUGUCGUAAACUUUGGUUUUAACAAAUUCACAUGGAUAGGAACACAUACACCGUUUAAAUCUAAGUGUCAUAAGAUUUCCUCCUUCAUGAAAAUGAUUGUGAGGAAAUGCUUUCACUAAGAAAGAUUUUAAGAAGAUAGUGAUUGUAAAAUUGCAUUCUCGAAUUCGAUUAUGGUUACGGUAUCCCUUUCCAUAAUUUGAAUUGUGAGGUUUGGCAAUUAGUCUUAAUUGUUUAGACACACAUAUGAACUAUCUAAGGCAAAGGUGUAUAAGUUCAAGAAGCCUUGAUAAAAGAUUAUCAAAGCACUAAGUAUUAGAAACAUGAACUUAAGAAAUUCAAUAAGUAUUGUUUUUCUGAAAGUUAAGAUGUUUAUGAAUACAUGUCGAAGCUAGUGGGAGCAUAAGUGUUAUGUUUUAUAAUAAUCAUCAUGAUAGUGGGAGCAUAAAUGUUAUGAUUGUAUGAUUAUUAAGGCACGUAUUGCAAGUUGGCAAUAUUAAUUAUAGAAAACAAGAGUUAUACCUUGCAAAGUCGUAAGGGUUGUAAAGUUGUUUUGCUAUAAUUAAGGGAGAGAAUAUUAUGCUUCAUUUCAAAUCUAAAGGAUUAGGUUGAGAAAUGUUAAUAAAUUUAGUCAAGGGUACAUAGUGUGUUCUUAAAAUUUCGAUUAUGAUUACGACAUUCCUCUUCACAAUUCGAAUUUUGAGAACAUAGCAAAUAAAACAUUAUGCGUCGUGUCCCAUACGCUUCGGGUAUAGGAUCGAUUGCAAAUGCUUUAAUGUUUGACCAUUCUAAAAUUUUCCAAAUGUCGAGCGCAUUUAGAGGGAAAAGGGACUAGAAUUGGUUUUGACUAAAAUAAUUAAACAACUAUCAAAGGACAAUCCAAAGUUUGACGAGGAUUGGUCGCUUGUGAGUAGUUGGAAGCAUGGUAUUGGAUGGACCAUAUCGACAUUAUUAUGAAUAGAAAAGAUUCUAUUAAGAAUGAGUUGUCAUAUGGAAAUUAUGGAAAUGUUUCCAUAUUGGAUGGACCAUAUCGACAUUAUUAUGAAUAGAUAAGAUUCUAUUAAGAAUGAGUUGUCAUAUGGAAAAUAUGGAAACGUGUCCAUAUUGGGAAUUGAAUAUUGAAAAUCUAUGUCUAGAUUAGAAACUUUUAUGCAAAAGGAUGUUCAAAGGAAUGUACUUUGAGUGAGAGACAUCAUAUCUAAGGAAUUGUCUUGUAACAAUCUCCGAUAGAGGACUUUGUAAUAUCAUUGGCAAUAGUCUUUGUGACUUUGGUGCAGUGACAUUACGAAAGGAUCAUUGCAUAAAAUGUUAGAAUCUAGCAUAUUCUAUAAGUAGCAAGAAUUUGAUAUUCUUACACUUAUGAAAAAGGAUUUGGAGUUGUGAAAUGAGAAUGAUUGGAAAUGUGUUCAAUUUGAUCUAUUUCACAAAGUAAGAACCAUAGGUAAACAUUGUGUGCAUGCUAGGAGCAUGGGACAAGUGUAAUAAUUCAAGUAAGAAGUUGAUUACCCGAAACGACAAAUAAUGAGUAAUCGAUAUGGUGAUAAAUAAAAGGUGUUUUAUUUAUGCUCAAAGGUUUGAGGCCAUAUGGGAUUAGUAUUAUUCUUGUGUUUCACUUUGCAUGUUUUGACUUCCUGAAUAAUUUAAUUGGUUUAGAACAGUCAAAUUAUUCGAACGGGCCACAGUCGUUCAUAUGUUGGAAGUAGGUAUGAAUAAAGACUGUCGUGAAUUGGUGUGUGGAUUGUCUAAAGAGUAUUAGACAUAAGCAAAUGUUUGCUGCAACGUUCAUGAGUGCUUAUGAAUAUGAUUUGAGCAUUGGAUUAAACCCACGCUCACUUGGAUCACUCCAUGAAUUGUAUCACGAGUGAUUGGUGAGACGAUAACAUCUUAUAUUCUUGAAACCGAGAUGUGUGAGUUGUAUCUUGCAAAUCGGUUGCACAUUGAUAAUAUGUAAACGCACUAGUAACUUGGUGUUAUAAAACAUAUUGUUGUGUGUGAUUCGGUGAGUGAGUGCAAGCAAGCAUUGUAUCAAAGUUUAUCCGUUCCUUUUAUCCAAAGUAGGAUAAAAGCGAUAUCUUUGGGCCCCUCGAUGAUUUAGUGAUGACAAACGUAAAUGCUCGUCCGGGCUAGGGCUAAUUUGAUUUGUUCAAUUAGUGUGUCCUCAUAAAUCAGAAAUCGAGAAGUAGUACAAAGAGAACGAUUUGAAAUCAUAUCUCAUAUGAUAUCUAGAAUGUAAGAAUAUAUGAUCCCUUAUCUAAGGACACGCGUAUCUGAUAGGAUCAGAGUUGACAGCGGCUUUGGAAAGCUACGAUUGCAGAUCAGGAUCUGAAGUCAUACGCAGAAUAGUUAUUAGACUUAUCCAAGUGGGAGACUGUUGGAUUAGUGUCUAAGUCCAUAACUAUUUUGGUAUGUACUUGACCCGAUGGUGCAUGGUCCUUUUGGGUUGCCUUCACCAAAGCAACUUGAUAGGAUGAAUUAUGGAGAGAAAGGAUUAAAUAUGAUUUAUUAAUAUAUUAUGGGAAUAAUAUAUUAAAGGAGAAAUCAUAUUGUUUAAUUAAUAUUAGUCAAUAAUUAAUUGGUAAUUAGUUUUGUGACUAAAAGAGAUUAAUUAAACUUAAGGGACUGGAAUUGUAAUUAUAAGAUUAUUGCAAUUUGGGCCAUGGAUUGCCUUAUAUUAAGGAGUGGACGAAUUCUAUGGGGAAGCCCAUAAGAAAUCGUCCAAGGCCUUAAGGAAAGGGAUCCAUGGGUUGCUUAGGGCUUAAGCAUCCAAUUUAGGGUUUCCUUGUUAGAUAACCCUAAUAGCCUCACUAUAAAUAGACCCCUUAAGGACUAAAAACGUGGCAAAGCUUUGUUAUAGGGUUUCACACGUUUUUGGGCAGCCUCCAUCCUCUCUUCUCUUCAUCCUCUUUCUUAUGGUGUUUGUGAACCGUUAGAGGAGUGACAUUUGUGACUCUAAGCUUCCUAAAGUCAAUAAAAGGAGAUUUGGGAUUGUUAUUGCUACAUAACAAUCAAGGUAACAUCUUAAACCUAUUCUCAUGUUAAUAUGAUUACUUGAAUGCUAGAAUUAGGGUUUAUAGUCUUGGAUAACUUGCAUGCACAAUAGAGAAACCUAGAUCCAAGCAUUAGGGUUUGUAUGAGCACAUAGGAUGUUCUUAGGACCAAAGCCCAUCAGUGGUAUCAGAGGCUAGAUUGGUUCUAUUAUAUUGAUGCAUUAUAUGUUUAAAAAAUUCGAUUUUUGGUAUUCUGGAGGCUGGACUCGCCGAGUCCAUGCUUGGCUCGACGAGUCAACUCGUCAGAUGGAGUAAACUUUAGAAAUAACUUUAGGAUUUCUUGCUGUUUUUGCUUAAGGAUAGUUUCCUUAUCAUAUUAGAUC
rnacentral:lncRNA from 1 species